UGUGUAUCGGGAAGGUUGAUUGCAGAACUGGUGGAGAAUACUUCCAUUAAUUUUCACCGCUUCAUUGCUGUCCUCCCUGAUUACCUUGAGCACAUACUGUUUGGUGCUCAGCAUGGCCGGAAGUUGAUGCAGAUUUUAGCGAUUGCUGGUGAUUCUGACAUUUUUUUACUGUGAUGAUGAUUAUUUCUACUGCUAUCUGUUUAUAUUUCAUUAGCGGUACUGUUCAUUUGAGAACUAUCAGCCCUGCUGAAACAUUUUUAAUCACAAAGUUAUGCUUGAGGUUAUGAUCAUGUCUUUUUAUUGCAAUUAGAGUCAAUCCAGCUGCUUUUUUCAAUUUGAUUGGAAUACAAUAAUUAUUGGGUUUUAAUCACUUU